rnacentral:rRNA from 1 species
UACGGAGGGGGCUAGCGUUGUUCGGAAUUACUGGGCGUAAAGCGCGCGUAGGCGGACCUGCAAGUCGGGGGUGAAAUCCCCGGGCUCAACCCGGGAACUGCGUCCGAUACUGGCAGGCUUGAAUCCGGGAGAGGGAUGCGGAAUUCCAGGUGUAGCGGUGAAAUGCGUAGAUAUCUGGAGGAACACCGGUGGCGAAGGCGGCAUCCUGGACCGGCAUUGACGCUGAGGCGCGAAAGCCAGGGGAGCAAACGGG